UUUCCUUUUUAUCUUGUGAAAUGAGAAUUAUUGUGGAUUCACUUUACCUGAAAGAACAAGAUGAAGAUUUCAUGAGAAAAUAGUGCUUUAAAAUUGUAAUUUAUCAUUUAUGUUUUUUGUUUUAUCGCACAAUAGUGUAAAAUUGAUAAUAUUACCCAUGUAUAAUAUACGUUAUGGACACACACAUGUACACAAACACAUGACAUAUAUACAUAGAGAUAGAGCCUUGAAGUCAUUUUGAAUUAUUUAAAUGAAGUCAUUCUUACAAAGUUAUGUAUAAGGUCGGUUGACUUUUAUUAGAUAUUUAAGUUUGCCAAAAGUAGAAAAUUUAUUUAAAAUUAAAUAUUUAAAAAUUUGUUAUAUAGUAUUGUUAAAAUAUAAGUAGAAUUACC
rnacentral:lncRNA from 1 species